GACGAACGCUGGCGGCGUGCUUAACACAUGCAAGUCGAACGGUAAGGCCCUUCGGGGUACACGAGUGGCGAACGGGUGAGUAACACGUGGGUGAUCUGCCCUGCACUUCGGGAUAAGCCUGGGAAACUGGGUCUAAUACCGGAUAGGACCACUACCUGCAUGGGUGGUGGUGGAAAGCUUCUGCGGUGUGGGAUGGGCCCGCGGCCUAUCAGCUUGCUGGUGGAGUGAUGGCCUACCAAGGCGACGACGGGUAGCCGGCCUGAGAGGGUGACCGGCCACACUGAGACUGAGAUACGGCCCAGACUCCUACGGGAGGCAGCAGUGGGGAAUAUUGCACAAUGGGCGCAAGCCUGAUGCAGCGACGCCGCGUGAGGGAUGACGGCCUUCGGGUUGUAAACCUCUUUCAGUAGGGACGAAGCGCAAGUGACGGUACCUACAGAAGAAGGACCGGCCAACUACGUGCCAGCCGCCGCCGUAAAAC
rnacentral:rRNA from 1 species